rnacentral:rRNA from 1 species
UACGAAGGGGGCUAGCGUUGCUCGGAAUUACUGGGCGUAAAGCGCACGUAGGCGGCUUUCUAAGUCGGGGGUGAAAUCCUGGAGCUCAACUCCAGAACUGCCUUCGAUACUGGAGAGCUUGAGUCCGGGAGAGGUGAGUGGGAACUGCGAGUGUAGAGGUGAAAUUCGUAGAUAUUCGCAAGAACACCAGUGGCGAAGGCGGCUCACUGGCCCGGUACUGACGCUGAGGUGCGAAAGCGUGGGGAGCAAACAGGG